UUCUGGCACGAUUGACAGAUUGAGAGCUCUUCCUUGAUUCGGUGGAUGGUGGUGCAUACCCAUUUUUAGUUGGUGGAGCGAUCUGUUUAAUUAAUUCCCAUACAAACUAGACUUUAUUCCAUUAAAUAGGUGCGUGGUUUUCUGCACUUUGCACUCUUAUAGAGACAAGCAGCUCCUAGCCGCACAGAAAGAAGAACAAGAACAGGUCUGUGAUGCCCUUACAU
rnacentral:ncRNA from 1 species